GGAGGCGUGGGUGAGCGGUCUAAACCAGCGCUCUUGAAAAGCGCCGAACCGCAAGGUUCCGUCCGUUCGAAUCGGACCGCCUCCGCCA
rnacentral:tRNA from 1 species